rnacentral:other from 1 species
GAUACUCUGUUUUUCUCGUAGCUAAAGUUAAUUUUUAUGCCAACAAAUUAACGUAGGAAGCUCAAACUUAGUCUGCGGCAUAAACGCCCUUAAAUUAUGGGACUUAUAAAACAGACAGGAGAGCACCCUCUUCGUAAGGGGAUGGGCAUUUAAAACUUCUAACGGUUACGAAAAAAUGGGGUAUCG